rnacentral:snRNA from 1 species
AGCUUCGCGCAGUGGCAGUAUCAUAGCCAAUGAAGUUUAUCCAAGGUGCGAUUAUUGCUAAUUGAAAACUUUUCCCAAUACCCCGCCAUGACGACUUGAAAUAUAGUCAGCAUUGGCAAUUUUUGACAGUCUCUAUGGAGA